AAUAAUUCUGCGCAAAAGUAACUUCCAACUGAGACAGCUUGGUACAAAGGCGACAGGUGACAUUAGAAUCAGAAAAGGAUGGGAAUAAAGAUAACGUGCAUGUGGGUGGAUGUAUAAAGUCAAUGAUUCAUGGCAACUGAAACAAGCAACCACACGUUCCUUCUGCUCACUAAUACCAUAUAAUGUCGCUAUGAAGAUUCUCCGUUUCGGAGAGCAAGUGACGACUUAUUAAGUGAGUCAUGGCUGAGACAUGUGUUUAUAACGACAGAGUUAUAGAGCCACUUACGGAGAAGAACUCUGGAGAGUGGUUUAAUUUGGUUAAAAACUAUUUGAUAGUUCACCAUCUUUGGGGAGUAAUGAUUGAUGAUGCAACUCCUCCUCAAGAUGAUUCCCGGACAAAAAAGAAUGAAGAAGCAUUGCGCAUCUUACGCAUCUCAUGUUCGCCUGAGACUCGCCUUCUCAUAGAAGGAGUCACCGAAGCCAAGGCUGUCUAGCGCAUUCUCCGUCACAACUUCGCCCGCAAACCAUCUGUGAAUGCAACGGGAGCAAGUUCUUGUGAUGUGGCCAUUUUGUACAAUGCUAUAUGCGCUAACAACUGGCAAGCAGCAAAAGAAUUCCUUAGCCGACAUCCAAGGGCCUUGACUGCGAAAGUUACAGCAACAAAUGGAACACCACUCCAUGUGGCUGCACUUUUUGGACAUUUAAAAGUAGUCGAGGAGUUGGUGAAAUUAGCUAGCCCAGAAUUCCUUGAAAUAGUCGACGAUUAUGGCUCUACUCCACUUGCAAUUGCUGCAUCCACUGGAGACACUCAAAUUGCAAAAUGCAUGCUUGAUAAAAAUAGAAACUUCCUUGGCAUUCCAGACUUGAGAUUUCAUCUUCCUGUUGCAUUGGCUAUUGAUGCUGGCCAGAAAGAAAUGGGAAGUUUUCUCUACAAGGAAACCCCAUUGGAAGUCCUCAAACCCGAAAAUGGCUAUCUAGGUUCUUGACUUCUUCGUGCAUGUUUCGAAGCUGGUGAACUUGGUAACCAACCUUACAUACUACCUUCGUUCCUAAAUAUAAGAGCUAAUUGUAGAGCAAGCAUACUAUAUCCGGUCCUAAGUAUAAAAGCUAGUUUGUAAGGUAACAAACCCUACAAACUAGCUCUUAUAUUUAGGACGAAAAGUAGUAUAUAAAAACAUAUUGAUGCCUUCCUUUGUUGGUAGGGUUCACAACUUUAUCAACCAAGCAAAAUAUCGGUAGCUUCUUUCUAGCUAGCACGAAUAAUUAAGUCAAUACUUGUAUUCAUUUUAUUGUCUAUCUAAUUUUGUUUAUUUGUUUGACAUCUUGCUAUGACUAUAAUAAACAGAUAUUGCUCUGCAUCUACUUGAACAAUAUGAAGACAUCAUUUUUGCUGCAGACCACA